rnacentral:tRNA from 1 species
GCGUCCGUAGCUCAGUUGGUUAGAGCACCACCUUGACAUGGGGGGGGUCGGUGGUUCGAGUCCACUCGGACGCACCA